CUUAUGGAGUCCGGGAGUGGAUAUCCCGGUGCAAGCGAGGUAGGAGUGCUGUUGGCAAAUCCGCAGCACGAUCUGAAGACGUGACGCGUACCGAACAUAAGUAGGGAAGUCCAGGCCCCUGGCUGUCAAGAAAAGCCGCUAUCGUUUUAUAUGUGCCCGUACCGCAAACCGACACAGGUGGAUGAGGAGAGAAUCCUAAGGCCGACGGGAGAAGUAUUGUUAAGGAACUCGGCAAAAUGACUCCGUAACUUCGGGAGAAGGAGUGCCAUGAGAGUGGCCGCAGAGAAAUGGCCCAAGCAACUGUUUAGCAAAAACACAGGUCUAUGCAAAACCGCAAGGUGAAGUAUAUGGGCUGACGCCUGCCCGGUGCUGGAAGGUUAAGGGGAGAGGUUAGCGCAAGCGAAGCUUUGAACUUAAGCCCCAGUAAACGGCGGCCGUAACAAUAACGGUCCUAAGGUAGCGAAAUUCCUUGUCGGGUAAGUUCCGACCCGCACGAAAGGCGUAAUGAUUUGGGCACUGUCUCAACGAUACACCCGGUGAAAUUGAAAUACCAGUGAAGAUGCUGGUUACCUGCGCCAGGACGGAAAGACCCCAUGGAGCUUUACUCCAGUUUGAUACUGGGAUUCGGCAUGGUAUGUACAGGAUAGGUGGGAGACUGAGAAGGUAUGACGUCAGUUGUACCGGAGUCGCUGUUGGGAUACCACCCUUACCAUGUUGGAUUUCUAACCUGUGGCCGUAAGCCGGUCAGGGGACAAUGUCAGGCGGGGAGUUUGACUGGGGCGGUCGCCUCCGAAAGGGUAUCGGAGGCGCUCAAAGGUUCCCUCAGAAUGGUUGGAAACCAUUCGAAGUGUGCAAAGGCAGAAGGGAGCUUGACUGUGACACCGACGGGUGGAGCAGGUACGAAAGUAGGACUUAGUGAUCCGGUGGUAUAAAGUGGGAUUGCCAUCGCUCAACGGAUAAAAGCUACCCUGGGGAUAACAGGCUUAUCACUCCCAAGAGUUCACAUCGACGGAGUGGUUUGGCACCUCGAUGUCGGCUCAUCGCAUCCUGGAGCUGUAGCGGGUUCCAAGGGUUGGGCUGUUCGCCCAUUAAAGCGGUACGCGAGCUGGGUUCAGAACGUCGUGAGACAGUUCGGUCCCUAUCCGGCGCAGGCGGAGGAAAUUUGAUAGGAGCUGUCCUUAGUACGAGAGGACCGGGAUGGACGGACCGCUGGUGUAUCUGUUGUACUGCCAAGUGCAUAGCAGAGUAGCCAAGUCUGGAAGGGAUAAACGCUGAAGGCAUCUAAGCGUGAAGCCCCCCUAAAGAUAAGAUUUCCCAUACCAUAAGGUAGUAAGACCCCUUGAAGACGACGAGGUAGAUAGGGCAGAGGUGGAAGUACGGUAACGUAUGGAGCUGACUGUUACUAAUCGGUCGAGGCUUUAACCU
rnacentral:rRNA from 1 species